AUACAGCGAAACUGCGAAUGGCUCAUUAUAUAAGUUCCUCGUUUAUUUGAUAGUGCCUUACUACUUGGAUAACCGUGGUAAUUCUAGAGCUAAUACAUGCUAAAAACCCCGACUUCGGAAGGGGUGUAUUUAUUAGAUACAAAACCAAUGCCCUUCGGGGCUCUUUGGUGAUUCAUGAUAACUAUACGAAUCGCACGGCCUUGCGCCGGCGAUGGUUCAUUCAAAUUUCUUCCCUAUCAACUUUCGAUGUUUGGGUAUUGGCCAAACAUGGUUGCAACGGGUAACGGAGGGUUAGGGCUCGACCCCGGAGAAGGAGCCUGAGAAACGGCUACUACAUCCAAGGAAGGCAGCAGGCGCGCAAAUUACCCAAUCCCGACUCGGGGAGGUAGUGACAAUAAAUACUGAUACAGGGCCCUUUCGGGCCUUGUAAUUGGAAUGAGUACACUUUAAAUCCCUUAACGAGGAACAAUUGGAGGGCAAGUCUGGUGCCAGCAGCCGCGGUAAUUCCAGCUCCAAUAGCGUAUAU
rnacentral:rRNA from 1 species